UCAUCGGCUGGGCUCGGUCGGUAGAGCAUGAGGUUCGUAAUCUCAGGGGCAUGGGUCCUGAGCCCCACGCUGUGCA